rnacentral:rRNA from 1 species
AACGAACGCUGGCGGCAUGCCUAACACAUGCAAGUCGAACGAGACCUUCGGGUCUAGUGGCGCACGGGUGCGUAACGCGUGGGAACCUGCCCUUAGGUUCGGAAUAACUCCCCGAAAGGGGUGCUAAUACCGGAUAAUGUCUUCGGACCAAAGAUUUAUCGCCUUUGGAUGGGCCCGCGUUGGAUUAGCUAGUUGGUAGGGUAAAAGCCUACCAAGGCGACGAUCCAUAGCUGGUCUGAGAGGAUGAUCAGCCACACUGGGACUGAGACACGGCCCAGACUCCUACGGGAGGCAGAAGUGGGGAAUAUUGGACAAUGGGCGAAAGACUGAGCCAGCAAUGACGCGUGAGUGAUGAAGGCCUUAGGGUUGUAAAGCUCUUUUAACCGGGAUGAUAAUGACAGUACCGGGAGAAUAAGCUCCGGCUAACUCCGUG